rnacentral:rRNA from 1 species
UACGAAGGGGGCUAGCGUUGCUCGGAAUUACUGGGCGUAAAGGGCGCGUAGGCGGCACGGCAAGUCAGGAGUGAAAGCCCUGGGCUCAACCCGGGAACUGCUUUUGAAACUGCCGAGCUAGAGUGCGGAAGGGGCAACUGGAAUUCCCAGUGUAGCGGUGAAAUGCGUAGAUAUUGGGAAGAACACCUGAGGCGAAGGCGGGUUGCUGGGCCGACACUGGCGCUGAUGCGCGAAAGCCAGGGGAGCGAACGGG